rnacentral:tRNA from 1 species
GCCUGGCUGGCUCAGUCAGCAGAGUAUGGGACUCUUGAUCUCAGGGUCAUGAGUUCAAUCCCCAUGCUGGGCG